GUUUCCGUGGUUUAGUGGUUAAGAGCCCCGACUUGGAAUUUUCGGAUACUCAGGUUCGAUGCCUAACGGAAGAUA